CCUCGCUCCCGCGCUCCCUCCCUUCCUCUCUACUCCUGCUUACCAGUGAGAACGUGAGUGUAGUGGUGGAUGUCAUUCAACACCAGCCCGUCUAACAGUUCUCCCCCUCCUCUCCCUCUCUCUCUCUCUCGCUCUCCCUCCCUCCCUUCCUCGCCCCCGCACUCCUCCCUUCCUCUCUACUCCUGCUUACCAGUAAGAACGUGAGUUUAGUGGUGGAUGUCAUUCAACACCAGCCGUCUAACAGUUCUCCCCCUCCUCUCCUCCUCUCUCUCUCUCCCUCUCUCCCUCCCUUCCUCCCUCCUGCACUCCCCUCCCUUCCUCUCUACUCCUGCUUACCAGUAAGAACGUGAGUGUAGUGGUGGAUGUCAUUCAACACCAGCCCCACGUACAGUUUUCCCAGCUGCUCUAGCACUCUCUCUGCCAGUCGCGUUUGGUUCUAUUUUGUUUUGUUUUUCGAUCAGUCACCAGUUCAUCGCAUUCGUAGGUAGUGGUGCCUCCUGGCGGUCGCGCUGCUGCGUGGGUCUGUCGACAGCGCCCUCUGAUGUGCUCUGCACAAAUAUAAAAUUUCCAAUGCGUAACUUUGCCAGGGGCAGCACAAGUCGCACGGUGCCAUGCAGCACCCAGUUUUCUUAUUAUUGCUGUCUUAAAAAUCUCAUAAAUCAAUGUGUACAUCUAAUAAGAAUAAUAUGUGGUGAUGUAAUAUUCUUUUGCAAUAAGCAUAAAAAUAUAAUACUCAUAUUCUACACCAUCAAUGACUACUGUUUCAGUCUCAAUUUGCACCCGGUGGAAGGCCGAAGAAGUUUAUUUAAUGAGUCUACGCGCUAUUUGCUCCCCAAUCGUGGAAAUUUUACAUUUACAUACUUUCUUUGAUAUCUUGUAAUUUUUCAAGUAAUAUAUUAAAAUUAAAUGUAUGCGUUUUUAAUUUUGAUAAACUUUCUCAAUAAGUCAACAA